rnacentral:snRNA from 1 species
GUGCUAGCUUUGACAGCAAAUAUACUAAAACUGGAGCAAUACAAAGAAGAUUAGCAGGGUCUUUGCACAAGGAAGACAUGAGAUUUGAACUCAUUGAUAUAAGUCUAG